rnacentral:rRNA from 1 species
UGGGGAAUAUUGGACAAUGGGCGAAAGCCUGAUCCAGCAAUGCCGCGUGAGUGAUGAAGGCCUUAGGGUUGUAAAGCUCUUUUACCCGGGAAGAUAAUGACUGUACCGGGAGAAUAAGCCCCGGCUAACUCCGUGCCAGCAGCCGCGGUAAUACGGAGGGGGCUAGCGUUGUUCGGAAUUACUGGGCGUAAAGCGCACGUAGGCGGUUUCUCAAGUCAGAGGUGAAAGCCCGGAGCUCAACUUCGGAAUAGCCUUUGAAACUAGGAGACUUGAACGUCGGAGAGGUGAGUGGAAUUCCGAGUGUAGAGGUGAAAUUCGUAGAUAUUCGGAAGAACACCAGUGGCGAAGGCGGCUCACUGGACGACUGUUGACGCUGAGGUGCGAAAGCGUGGGGAGCAAACA